AGUGAACGCUGGCGGUAGGCCUAACACAUGCAAGUCGAACGGCAGCACAGUAAGGGCUUGCUCUUACGGGUGGCGAGUGGCGGACGGGUGAGGAAUACAUCGGAAUCUACUUUUUCGUGGGGGAUAGCGUAGGGAAACUUACGCUAAUACCGCAUACGACCUACGGGUGAAAGCAGGGGAUCUUCGGACCUUGCGCGAUUGAAUGAGCCGAUGUCGGAUUAGCUAGUUGGCGGGGUAAAGGCCCACCAAGGCGACGAUCCGUAGCUGGUCUGAGAGGAUGAUCAGCCACACUGGAACUGAGACACGGUCCAGACUCCUACGGGAGGCAGCAGUGGGGAAUAUUGGACAAUGGGCGCAAGCCUGAUCCAGCCAUACCGCGUGGGUGAAGAAGGCCUUCGGGUUGUAAAGCCCUUUUGUUGGGAAAGAAAAGCAGCAGGUUAAUACCCCGCUGUUCUGACGGUACCCAAAGAAUAAGCACCGGCUAACUUCGUG
rnacentral:rRNA from 1 species